AUGGAGUCUAUGGGGAUGGCUAUGGGGUCUAUGGGGUCAGUAUGGGGUCUCUAUGGUCUCUAUGGGGUCUAUGGGGCAGCUAUGGGGUCUAUGGGGUCAGUAUGUGUUCUAUGGGGACAGCUAUGGGGUGUGUGGGGUCAAUAUGGGGCCUAUGGGGUCAGUAUGGGGUCUGUGGGGAGGUUAUGGGGUCUAUGGGGUCAGUAUGGGGUCUAUGGGGACGGCUAUGGGGUCAUGGGGUCUAUGGGGUGGCUAUGGGGCGGCUAUGGGGUCUAUGAGGUCUGUGGGGUCUCUACGGGGUCAAUAUUGGGUCUAUGGGAUGGCUAUGGGGUCUAUAGGGUCCGUAUGGGGUCUAUGGGGUCAGUAUGGGCUCUAUGGAGUCAGAUUGGGGUCUAUGGGGUCUCUAUGGGGUGUAUGGGGUGGCUAUGGGGUCUAUGGGGUCUCUAUUGGGUCUAUGGGGUCUAUGGGGCAGCUAUGGGGUCUAUGGGGACAGCUAUGGGGUGUAUGGGGUCAAUAUGGGGCCUAUGGGGUCAGUAUGGGGUCUAUGGGGAGGUUAUGGGGUCUAUGGGGCAGCUAUGGGGCAGCUAUGGGGUCUAUGGGGAGGUUAUGGGGUCUAUGGGGCAGCUAUGGGUCUCUAUGGGGUCAAUAUGGGGUCUAUGGGGUCUAUGGCAUCUAUAUGAGGUCAAUGGGGUCAAUAUGGGGUCUAUGGGGAGACCAUGGUUUCUAUGGGGGGUCUAUGGGGUCUAUGGGGUCAAUAUGGGGUCUACGGGGCAGCUAUGGGUAUCUAUGGGGUCAAUAUGGGGUCUAUGGGGUCUCUGUGGUCAGUAUGGGGUCUAUGGGGUCUAUAUGGGGUACUUGGGAGGACCAUGGGUCUAUGGGGUGUCUAUGGGGUCUGUGGGGUCAAUAUGGGGUCUAUGGGGCAGCUAUGGGUCUCUAUGGGGUCAAUAUGGGGUCUAUGGGGUCUAUAGGGUCAGUAUGGGGUCUAUGGGGUCUAUAUGGGGUAUUUGGGGGGACCAUGGGGUCUAUGGGGUGUCUAUGGGGUCUGUGGGGUCAGUGUGGGGCCUAUGGGGUGGCUAUGGGGUGAGUAGUGGGGUUAUGGGUUCUAUGGGGUGGCUAUGGGGUCUAUGGGGUCUCUAUGGGGUCUAUGGGGUGGCUAUGGGGUCUAUGGGGUCACUAUGGGGUCUAUGGGGUCCCUAUGGGGUCUAUGGGGUGGCUAUGGGGUCUAUGGGGUCUCUAUGGGGUCUAUGGGGUCACUAUGGGGUCUAUGGAGUCUCUAUGGGUCUCUAUGGGGACUAUGGGGUGGUUAUGGUGCAGCUAUGGGGUUUAUGGGGCCAGUAUGGGGUAAGUAGUGGGGUCUAUGGGGCGGCUAUGGGGUCUCUAUGGGGACUAUGGGGGUGGUUAUGGGGUCAAUAUGGGGUCAAUAUGGGGUCUAUGGGGUGGCUAUGGGAUAUAUGGGGUUCUAUGGGGUCUCUAUGGGGUCAAUAUGGGGCCUAUGGGGUGGCUAUGGGGUCUCUAUGGGGUCUCUAG
rnacentral:lncRNA from 1 species